rnacentral:rRNA from 1 species
GUGGUUCCAAGAAAAGCCUCUAAGCUUCAGUCUAACGAUGACCGUACCGCAAACCGACACAGGUGGGCGAGAUGAGUAUUCUAAGGCGCUUGAGAGAACUCGGGAGAAGGAACUCGGCAAAUUGGUACCGUAACUUCGGGAUAAGGUACGCCCUUGUAGCUUGACUGGCCUGCGCCAGGAGGGUGAAGGGGUUGCAAUAAACUGGUGGCUGCGACUGUUUAAUAAAAACACAGCACUCUGCAAACACGAAAGUGGACGUAUAGGGUGUGACGCCUGCCCGGUGCCGGAAGAUUAAAUGAUGGGGUGCAAGCUCUUGAUUGAAGUCCCGGUAAACGGCGGCCGUAACUAUAACGGUCCUAAGGUAGCGAAAUUCCUUGUCGGGUAAGUUCCGACCUGCACGAAUGGCGUAACGAUGGCCACACUGUCUCCUCCCGAGACUCAGCGAAGUUGAAGUGUUUGUGAUGAUGCAAUCUACCCGCGGCUAGACGGAAAGACCCCAUGAACCUUUACUGUAGCUUUGCAUUGGACUUUGAACCGAUCUGUGUAGGAUAGGUGGGAGGCUAUGAAACCGGAACGCUAGUUUCGGUGGAGCCGUCCUUGAAAUACCACCCUGGUUUGUUUGAGGUUCUAACCUUGGCCCGUGAUCCGGGUCGGGGACAGUGCAUGGUAGGCAGUUUGACUGGGGCGGUCUCCUCCCAAAGCGUAACGGAGGAGUACGAAGGUACGCUAGGUACGGUCGGAAAUCGUGCUGAUAGUGCAAUGGCAUAAGCGUGCUUAACUGCGAGACCGACAAGUCGAGCAGGUGCGAAAGCAGGUCAUAGUGAUCCGGUGGUUCUGUAUGGAAGGGCCAUCGCUCAACGGAUAAAAGGUACUCUGGGGAUAACAGGCUGAUACCGCCCAAGAGUUCAUAUCGACGGCGGUGUUUGGCACCUCGAUGUCGGCUCAUCUCAUCCUGGGGCUGUAGCCGGUCCCAAGGGUAUGGCUGUUCGCCAUUUAAAGAGGUACGUGAGCUGGGUUUAAAACGUCGUGAGACAGUUUGGUCCCUAUCUGCCGUGGGCGUUGGAUAUUUGAAGGGGGCUGCUCCUAGUACGAGAGGACCGGAGUGGACGAACCUCUGGUGUACCGGUUGUCACGCCAGUGGCAUCGCCGGGUAGCUAUGUUCGGAAGAGAUAACCGCUGAAAGCAUCUAAGCGGGAAACUCGCCUUAAGAUGAGAUAUCCCUGGGGACUAGAUCCCCUUGAAGGGUCGUUCGAGACCAGGACGUUGAUAGGUCAGGUGUGUAAGCGCAGUAAUGCGUUCAGCUAACUGAUACUAAUUGCCCGUAAGGCUUGAUCC